AUACUUACCUGGCAGGGGAGGUAUGAUCACGAAGGUGGUUUUCCCAGGGUGAGGUUUGGAUGUGCUGACCCCUGCAAUUUCCCCAAAUGUUGGAAACUCAACUGCAUAAUUUGUGGUAGUGGGGGACUGCGUUCAUGCUUUCCCCUG
rnacentral:snRNA from 1 species